rnacentral:tRNA from 1 species
CGCGGGGUAGAGCAGUUGGUAGCUCGCUGGGCUCAUAAUCCGGAGGCCGCAGGUUCGAGUCCUGUCCCCGCUA